GAGUCCUUUACCGGCGAUCCGCAAGUACGUAUAGGUAACCAGCCUUAGAGCAGACUAACCAGGGUGGCCCCAAUGGCGAAAAAUGAGACGAGCCCCAUCAAACUUUUGAAAAGCACUCAAUUUCUGAACAGCCAAUCUUAUCUGAUCUCGAGGGUUGAUUGAUAUCAAGGAUGUAAGCGCGAGGGUGGUCUCGCGCUUAAGGCCAGGAUGAGAUUGAGCCAGUCUCAUCUAUCGAACAACCCCAUAAUCUUCAUGAGUCCUUCCUGCUGAUGGGGAGUCACUGAACAUUUAGUGCCUUGAAGGUAGGUACACAUUUAAUCAUAAUCUAAUAUUUAAAAGGUAAUUUCACGGGCUGUUUACUUCCUACGGUUUCCACUCUGUACCCUACGCAGAGCUGAAUGGUCGGAUGGUUACCUCAGUGUGAGGGUAAAAAAAAAAAAAGGUAAAUAAAAAAUGCAACCUGGUUAAUGCAGCGACUCCUAACCAUGACGUUCACUUCCGGUUUUGCGAUUUUAGGGAAUCGUCGGUACCAGCCAGAACCAGGUUCUAGGUUAUGUUUGUCAGCCAUAAGAUUUGUAGUAAUCGCAUGGCUGAUUCCGUCCAGCCACGUUCGCCGUGAACUUAGCCACAUACGCCCGUAACCCGUAUGCGCACGUACUGGAUGAGUGGCUGAGAAGUGAAAGUGAAAGAAGGAAAGAAGAGAGGAAGGUGCACGAGCUAGCACGUGGCGAUCUAAUGAAAAAGAUUUUAAACGUCCCGUAUGGAUUUCUGAAGACACAUUCAAUGGAAUUUCAAUAUAUUGCUAUGAAAGAAUAUUGGUGACGCUGUCCGUAAGACUCGUUAUGACCUAAGACUUUCCAAGUCCGUUAACCUUACUUGUCUAACGGAGAACCACGGAACUGCGGACACGCGAACGUCGCCACUGUCGCGACGCUGCAACAACUAAUCUUUAGGAUCUCAACGACGCUCUCUAUAAACUAUACUAAGGACGUAUAUAUAUCCAAGAUUUCGGCACAGGGUCGGGUCGGAUCCGCCAUUAUAGAAAUCCAGAAGGCUGCACGUGAGAUACCAGUCAAGGAUCCCUGAGGCAGACGUGUAUUAGGAAAACGUACGAGCUACUGAGAAUACAUGUGAUAUACGUACGGGACCUUCUCAAAUAUUGGCGGAGGACCCUAAGGCCCCCUUUGAUCCAGAAUCCCUGGAAUUUCUAUAGCGAAUAAUCGGAGACAGCUGGGGCCGCUGCGAAAUCAAGUAGCGUAAUAAUUCGACGGGCUCGAAACCUUUGCCGGGUACUGUUGUUGCUGGCAGCAACAACUGAGCAAGAUCGAAGUGGCGACAACCGCGCUGAGGAAGAAAAAGGAAAAGAGAAAAUGAGAGGAUCAAGAAUUGAUUUAAGUUAUACUUGGAUAUAUAUACGUAUAAACUGAAGAAGCCUAACGGGGCCUCGAAGUGUGAAGCGUGAAAAAGUCCCAGAAACCGUGAUGGAGUUUCAGAUUACUUUUUUUCUUCUUUUCCCCUAAUCGCCGGAUAUCUCGGAUAUGUCGCCAUGUCGGUGCGUGCCCAUAAGUUAGCCAGGGUUCUGGCAUUAACGUCGCGACGGAGCGUGGUUUUAACACCCCUGCUUGAACAAAUAAACGAUAUGGCGUCCAAGAUAGCUAUGCAAAUGGAGUCGUGCUCUCGGGGUCGUUCUUCCUGCGCCAACUGUAUUCGUCAGAGGGGCUCGUAAGGAGUCCUGACAAAUUUGACAUUUCCUUGGGUCACGUUCUGCCGUCGUGACGCUGGACGUCGCUGAGUAUAAGAAAGUAUUAAGAACAAGUAACGAUCUGCGUUAUCCCAGUGAUUCUCACAAUUCAUCCCCCGUGUACUCACGAGACUGAAUGUAGCGAAGCUACAAGACGGAAGCUUCAAGACGACAAAGCGUCCGCACGCUUCUUACUGAAUUAUGAAACGCCCUAAUCGACGAUGCCGACGUCGCCUGCUGCUGGUGCCGUUGAAUAAAGUAUGUAAAAAGAAGAACUGCCUACUCCUCUAUCCAUAAGGACUCGUGGGGUUAUUAAUAACAGCGUUGUUAGCCGGCCGUCGCGUUACUUGGUACAAAGUAAUUCCAGGCUCUUCACGUAAAUCGCCAGUGAGUCUAGGGCAUGGUGUACCUAUGGUGAUGAUGGUGCAUGCGUAUACGAGUAUGAGUGUUUGCGGAGCCAGGAACUCGAGAGGCUACAACGCCAAAGCUUUGCAAAGAGAGAGAGAGAGACACGUAUAGCGAAACACUAGAAGACCCUUUUUUCUGGACCCUUGAGUGCCCUGCUACCCCUGAUAUGGAAGUACUCCGCUUCAUCGGUGAACGAAUGCUAUGGGGGUUGGUCCAUGGGAUCCUUAAAAUAAUAGCUAGGCGCCCGUCGAUAGGGCUGUGUUUAUAAAACACUGCCUAACCGAAAGCCCUGGACUAAUUGUUCGAUAAUUUCCAUUGGCACUACCCAUGAGUCUGUAUGAGAGAACUUUGCACAUAUGCUCGCUUUCUACCAUUACUGAUUCUAUGGUUAUGUACUCU